UACGUAGGGACCAAGCGUUGCUCGGAAUCACUGGACGUAAAGGGUGCGUAGGCGGGUCUUUAAGUCAGGGGUGAAAUCCUGGAGCUCAACUCCAGAACUGCCUUUGAUACUGAAGAUCUUGAGUUCGGGAGAGGUGAGUGGAACUGCGAGUGUAGAGGUGAAAUUCGUAGAUAUUCGCAAGAACACCAGUGGCGAAGGCGGCUCACUGGCCCGAUACUGACGCUGAGGCACGAAAGCGUGGGGAGCAAACAGG
rnacentral:rRNA from 1 species